CCUACGGGUGGCAGCAGUGAGGAAUAUUGGUCAAUGGACGGAAGUCUGAACCAGCCAUGCCGCGUGCAGGAAGACGGCUCUAUGAGUUGUAAACUGCUUUUGUACAAGGGUAAACCUGAAUACGUGUAUUCAGCUGAACGUACUCUACGAAUAAGGAUCGGCUAACUCCGUGCCAGCAGCCGCGGUAAUACGGAGGAUGCAAGCGUUAUCCGGAUUGAUUGGGUGUAAAGGGUGCGUAGGCGGAUUGAUAAGUUUGAGGUGAAAUGUCCGGGCGUAACUCGGGAACUGCCUCUAAUACUGUUGAGCUAGAGAGUAGAUGCGGUAGGCGGAAUGUAUGGUGUAGCGGUGAAAUGCUUAGAGAUCAGACAGAACACCGAUUGCGAAGGCAGCUUACCAAUCUAUAUCUGACGUUGAGGCACGAAAGCGUGGGGAGCAAACAGGAUUAGAUACCCGAGUAGUC
rnacentral:rRNA from 1 species